GUUGAAAGGACUCAAGAAGUUCUGAUAACUUCACUCAUUACUACUCUGUGAAAUCAGACCUUUUUCAUCAGGAAGUUACAUUAUUGGGGAAAAGGUAAGUCCCUGAAUCUUUGUAAUGGUAUUCUGCCAAUACUAUGGGACCAUUUUCUACUUAAAACAUAUUCCAGUGUUUAGGCCUUUGAGAAUUAGGAUGAGAUCUAAUGAAAGUCUAUUCUGCAGGUGGGGUGUGAUCGCAGCCGUCUCUGUGGGGAGAGCUUUGCUACAGGAUUGGAUACUUUAACCUAGCAACGAGUCAGUAGCCCAGCAGAGGAGGUAAAAACACCGGGGGUGAAGAAUACAACCCCAAACAGCUGGAGUCUCUUGGGACCUGGCCACCCCUCCUCUACAGUGUCUCAGCAUGCUCUGGGAGUCUCAGAGCGCAGGCGCAGCACAAUCCUGCUAGUGCCUGGCUGCUGCCCCCGCAGUCUGUAGAGGAAGCUCGAUAACACCACCCAGCCCCUCCCCCCAAAAAAGCAGACUCCAUUUAGGGGUUUUUUCUUUUUUUCUUUUUGCUAAUUUGUCUUUGAUUCUUCUCUGACAAAAUGAGCAAAAAAUUGAAAAGGACCUUAACCCUUGACAGCUUCUAUACGGAUAGAGAGCAGACUCUAAACCCUGAGGAGACUAAAAACAGACCGUCUCCAGGUGAAUCCCCAAAGGAGGAGAUCAUCUGUCCCUCAGCACAGAUGAAUCUCAUAGAAGAAAUUAAAAAGGUUCUCACAAGAGAGCUAGAAGAAAAAUGGGAAAAAGAGAAGGAGGCUUGGCAAGAGAGUUUGGAGAAGUCAUCCCACUCAUUUAAAGACAGAGUGGAUAAAGAAAUAAAAUCCUUGAAAAAUAGUAUUACUGAAUUGGAAACAGAAAAUAGCUCUCUAAAAAACAAAAUUGGCGAAAUUGGACAAUUAGAAAAAGAUAUUUAAAAAGUGAGUGAAGAAAAUACUUCAUUGAAAAUCAGAAUUGAACAAAUGAAAUUGAAUGACUCGAGGAGACAAGAAGAAUGAGUCAAGCAAAUCCAAAAAAAUCAAACAAUGGAAAAGAAUGUGAAAUACCUUCUUGGGAAAACAACAGACCUGGAAAACAGAUCCAAGAGAGAUAAUUUGAGAAUCAUUGGACUCCCAGAAAAGUAUGAUGGAAAAAAGAGCCUGGACACUAUUUUCCAGGAAAUUAUCAAAGAGAACUGCCCAGAAAUCAUAGAAACAGAGGGUAAAAUAGACAUUGAAAGAAUUCAUCGAUCACCUACUAAAAAGGAUCCUAAAAUCAAAACACCAAGAAAUAUAGUGGCCAAAUGCCAGAACCCUCAGACAAAGGAAAAAAUACUGCAAGCGGCUAGAAAAACCCAAUUCAAGUAUCAAGGAGCCACAAUAAGGAUCACCCAGGAUCUAGCAGCAUCCACAUUAAAGGAUCCAAAAAUAACUUACCCAGCUAGAAUGAGCAUCUUUUUCCAGGGAAGAAGUAAGUGAAUUUCACCUAUUUUUGAUGAAAAAGCCAGAACUUAACAAAAAGUUUGAUCUACAAAUAUAGAACUCAAGAGAAAUCUAAAAAGGUAAAGAUUAAUCUUGGGAACUAUAUUUCGGCUAUAAAGAUAUAUUAAGAAUACAUGUAUACCUUGUUCUAGAAACUAGAUGUGGAAAGGACAUUGUACCAGAAAAAAGGUAAAGUGGGGAUACUACAUCUCAUGAAGAGGCAAAGGAAACCUAUUAUAACUGAGAGAAAGAAUGGAGGGGGAUGAAUAUAGUGGGUAUCUUACUGCCUUCAGAAUUGGCUUUAAGAGAAAAAAUUUAGACAUAUUCAAUUCAUGAUGAAACUUCUUGCACCUCAUUGAAAAGUGAGAAGGGAAAAGUGAAAAGGGAAGGAAUAAGCUAAGUGGAAGGGAAUACGGAAACUGGGAGGGAAAGGGAUAAGAUAGGGAGAAGAACUCUUAAGGGAGGGGGGAGGGAUACUAAAAAAGGGAGGGCUGUGAGAAGCAAGUGGUGCUCACAAGCUUAAUACUGGGAAAGGGGGUAAGGGGGAAAGAAGGGAGAAAAGCAUAAACAGGGGUUAACAAGAUGGCAAGUAAUACAGAAUUGGUCAUUUUAAACAUAAAUGUGAACGGGGUAAGCUCCCCCAUAAAGAGGAAGCUGUUAGCAGAAUGGAGUAAAAGCCGGAAUCCUACAAUAUAUUAUUUACAGGAAACACACCUGAAGCAGGGAGAUACAUGCAGGUUAAAGGUAAAAGAUUGGAGCAAAAUCUACUAUGCUUCAGGUGAAGUCAAAAAAGCAGGGGUAGCCAUCCUGAUCUCAGAUUAAGCUAAAGCAAAAAUUGAUCUAAUUAAAAGAGAUAAGGAAGGGCACUAUAUCUUGCUAAAGGGUAGCAUGGAUAAUGAAGCAAUAGCAAUAUUAAACAUGUAUGCACCAAGUGGUGUAGCAUCUAAAUUCUUAAAAGAGAAAUUAAGAGAGCUGCAAGAAGAAAUAGACAGUAAAACUAUAAUAGUGGGAGAUCUCAACCUUGCACUCUCAGAAUUAGAUAAAUCAAAUCACAAAAUAAGAAAGAAGUCAAAGAGGUAAAUAGAAUACUAGAAAAAUUAGAUAUGAUAGAUCUCUGGAGAAAAUGUAAUGGAUACAGAAAGGAAUACACUUUCUUUUCAGCAGUUAAUGGAACCUACACAAAAAUUGACCAUAUAUUAGCACAUAAAAACCUCAAACUCAAAUGCAGUAAGGCAAAAAUAGUAAAUGCAUCCUUUUCAGACAACGAUGAAAUGAAAAUACAUUCAACAAAAAGCCAGGGGAAAGUAGACCAAAAAAUAAUUGGAAACUAAAUAAUCUCAUACUAAAAAAAGAUUGGGUGAAGCAGCAAAUCAUAGCCAUAAUAACUUCACCCAAGAAAAUGAUAAUAAUGAGACAUCAUACCAAAAUGUGUGGGAUGCAGCCAAAGCAGUAAUAAGGGGAAAUUUCAUAUCUUUAGAGGCCUGCUUGCAUAAAGUAGAGAAAGAAAAAGUCAAUGAAUUGGGCUUGCAACUAAAAAUGCUAGAAAAGGAACAAAUUAAACCCCCCCAGUCAAACACUAAACUUGAAAUUCUAAAAAUAAAAGGAGAGAUCAAUAAAAUUGAAAGUAAAAAAACUAUUGAAUUAAUUAAUAAAACUAAGAGUUGGUUCUAUGAAAAAACCAACAAAAUAGACAAACCCUUAGUAAAUCUGUUUAAAAAAAGGAAAGAGGAAAAUCAAAUUGUUAGUCAUAAAAAUGAAAAGGGAGAACUCGCCACUAACGAAGAGGAAAUUAGAGCAAUAAUUAGGAGUUACUUUGCCCAACUUUAUGCCAAUAAAUUUGAUAACUUAAAUGAAAUAGAAGAAUACCUCCAAAAAUAUAGCUUGCCCAAACUAACAGAGGAAGAAUCGAGAAAGAUAUUAAAGGAAUUAGAGUAGGCAAUGAGGAAACCAAACUAUCACUCUUUGCAGAUGAUAUGAUGGUAUACCUGGAGAACCCCAGAGAUUCUACUAAAAAGCUAUUAGAAAUAAUUCAUAAUUUUAGCAAAGUAGCUGGAUACAAAAUAAAUCCCCAUAAAUCCUCAGCAUUUUUAUACAUCACCAACAAAAUCCAACAGCAAGAGAUACAAAGAGAAAUUCCAUACAGAAUAACUGUUGAUAGCAUAAAAUAUUUGGGAAUCUAUCUAUCAAAGGAAAGUUAAUAAUUAUAUAAGCAAAAUUACAAAAAACUUUCCACACAAAUAAAGUCAGACUUAAAUAAUCGGAAAAAUAUUAAGUGCUCUUGGAUAGGCCGAGCGAAUAUAAUAAAGAUGACAAUACUCCCUAAACUAAUCUAUUUAUUUAUUGCUAUACCAAUCAGACUUCUAAGAAAAUAUUUUAAUGAUCUAGAAAAAAUAACAACAAAAUUCAUAUGGAACAAUUAAAAAGUCGAGAAUCUCAAGGGAAUUGAUGAAAAAAAAAUCAAAUGAAGGUGGCCUAGCUGUACCUGAUCUAAAAUUAUAUUAUAAAGCAGCAGUCACCAAAACCAUUUGGUAUUGGCUAAGAAAUAGAUUAGUUGAUCAGUGGAAAAGGUUAGGUUCACAAGACAGAAUAGUCAACUAUAGCAAUCUAGUAUUGGGGAAGGGGUGGAGGAAAGGAGGGGAAAAAUCGGAACAGAAGCGAGUGCAAGGGGUAAGGUUGUAAAAAAAAUUACCCUGGCAUGGAUUCUGUCAAUAUAAAGUUAUUAUAAAAUAAAAUAAAAUAAAAAGAAA